UACGUAGGUGGCAAGCGUUGUCCGGAUUUACUGGGCGUAAAGGAUGCGUAGGCGGACAUUUAAGUCAGAUGUGAAAUACCCGAGCUUAACUUGGGUGCUGCAUUUGAAACUGGGUGUCUAGAGUGCAGGAGAGGUAAGUGGAAUUCCUAGUGUAGCGGUGAAAUGCGUAGAGAUUAGGAAGAACACCAGUGGCGAAGGCGACUUACUGGACUGUAACUGACGCUGAGGCAUGAAAGCGUGGGGAGCGAACAGG
rnacentral:rRNA from 1 species